UACGGAGGGUGCGAGCGUUGUCCGGAAUCACUGGGCGUAAAGGGCGCGUAGGUGGCGUCGCAAGUCAACGGUGAAAGCUCGACGCUCAACGUCGAGUCGGCCGUCGAGACUGCGAGGCUUGAGCACUGUAGAGGCAGAUGGAAUUCCGGGUGUAGCGGUGGAAUGCGUAGAGAUCCGGAAGAGCACCGGUGGGCGAAGGCGGUCUGCUGGGGCAGUUGCUGACACUGAGGCGCGACAGCGUGGGGGAGCAAACAGG
rnacentral:rRNA from 1 species